rnacentral:rRNA from 1 species
UACGUAGGGUGCGAGCGUUAAUCGGAAUUACUGGGCGUAAAGCGUGCGCAGGCGGUUCGUUGUGUCGGCGGUGAAAGCCCCGGGCUCAACCUGGGAAUGGCCGUUGAAACUGGCGAACUGGAGUGCGGCAGAGGGGGGUGGAAUUCCGCGUGUAGCGGUGAAAUGCGUAGAGAUGCGGAGGAACACCGAUGGCGAAGGCAGCCCCCUGGGCUAACACUGACGCUCAGGCACGAAAGCGUGGGGAGCAAACAGG